UUAGGAAUAUUGGACAAUGGGCGCAAGCCUGAUCCAGCCAUGCCGCGUGAGUGAUGAAGGCCUUCGGGUUGUAAAGCUCUUUAGCCGACGAUUAUAAUGACUGUAGUCGGAGAAUAAGCCCCGGCUAACUUCGUGCCAGCAGCCGCGGUAAUACGAAGGGGGCGAGCGUUAUUCGGAAUCACUGGGCGUAAAGCGUGCGUAGGCGGUCUCACAAGUUGGGAGUGAAAGCCCAGGGCUCAACCUUGGAAUUGCUCUCAAAACUGUAAGACUUGAAUCCGGGAGAGGAUAGCGGAAUUUCCAGUGUAGUAGUGAAAUACGUAGAUAUUGGAAGGAACACCAGUGGCGUAAGCGGCUAUCUGGACCGGCAUUGACGCUGAGGCACGAAAGCGUGGGGAGCAAA
rnacentral:rRNA from 1 species